UCCCUGCUGGCUCAGAUGGUAAAGAAUCUGCCUGCAAUGCAGGAGACCCGGGUUCAGUCCUGGGUUGGGAA
rnacentral:tRNA from 1 species